GGUGCCUGUUGGGAUUCAGACACCGCAUAAAACGCUGGAGGUGCCAGCAAAAUGGACACGGCAAUUGGCUACGCAGUCGUCUUCCAGCAGAACUGCCCAGGAGGGCCCACGGAAAAUGGAGCGGCUUUUAUCCCACUCACUGGGCACUGAAUCUCUGGAAGGGGAUUCCACACUUUCUGGACUUGGGUUGAUCUUUUUGCACUGUCCCACCCCGAUGGAAAGGGAAAAAAGGUAUUGGACUUGGUGGCAGCGACCUGGGGGUAUUUUCUCCCUUGAGGUUGUGAGUCCGUCGGUUUGGCUGUGCUCGCUGCAUUCCUGUUCUUUGGCCCUGUGUGAGACAGUUCUGGAAAACUCUUAUUUGACCACAACUGGAAAAGAAAGAGAGAAAAAAACACCCCCAGCCAAAACCCACAGAUCAAAUUUGUAGGAUGAGUUUGAACCGCAGAGCUCAGUCUUUCACUCUGACAGUCUGCAUGAUCUCAGCACAGAGAUCCCACAAACAGCAGAGGGAAGUGCCUGGGGAGCUGAGCUCCUGCUUCCAUCACCCAGCCCGAGCCAGCAGGCGAUAGCAGUCUGACCAGGAGAGCAAUGAACGCAGCAAGCCAAAUCCCUGAAGGAACUAUGGGAUUUAUUCACUUUGGCUGCUUGGAAAAGCUGUUUCCAGAACUUUACUCAACACCUUCCUUCAACCUCAGAACACCUCCUUGGGUAAACAUAAUCACCUUCCAGGCCUGGGCCUUACACAGAACGAGAUCACUCCACACAGGGAUGAUAUUUAGCGCAGAUCACGGUUUAAAACGCCAUCAGAAAUAUCUGUAAGGUCAUUCAUGUUUCAGCUUUGCCACCAGCCCCGAGGUGAGGACACCCCAGCAUGGAUCUGUGAUGCAUACCAGAACAUUCGUGCAAGAAGAAGGAACAAUGGCCCAGCUCCAUUUCUUGUGUAGUCUGCAACUUCCUAGCGCGUCUGACACGCUGGGAACCCACGCGCAACACGGUGAUGGAAAACUUGGAGACCGAAUGGAAGUGAAGAAAAGUCCUUGGUGUAAUUUUACAGCGUGUGAAAGACUUAAAGCAAGAAACACAGCCAGAUGCCACAAGGAAAGUACUUUCAAUUAGUUCUGCUUUGUGUUAUACCUACUGAUGAAAAAUAAAAACAAAUUCAUUCUGUCA
rnacentral:lncRNA from 1 species